UACGUAGGGGGCAAGCGUUGUCCGGAAUCAUUGGGCGUAAAGAGCUCGUAGGCGGCUUGGCAAGUCGGGUGUGAAAACUCCAGGCUCAACCUGGAGACGCCACCCGAUACUGCCAUGGCUAGAGUCCGGUAGGGGACCACGGAAUUCCUGGUGUAGCGGUGAAAUGCGCAGAUAUCAGGAAGAACACCCGUGGCGAAGGCGGCUCUCUGGGACGGUACUGACGCUGAGACGCGAAAGCGUGGGGAGGGAACAGG
rnacentral:rRNA from 1 species